rnacentral:rRNA from 1 species
CCUACGGGGCGCAGCAGUGGGGAAUAUUGCGCAAUGGACGAAAGUCUGACGCAGCGACGCCGCGUGAGGGAUGAAGGUUUUCGGAUCGUAAACCUCUGUCAGGAGGGAAGAAAGCGCAUGGCGCCAAUCAGCCAUGCGUUGACGGUACUUGAGGAGGAAGCCCCGGCUAACUACGUGCCAGCAGCCGCGGUAAUACGUAGGGGGCUAGCGUUAUCCGGAAUUACUGGGCGUAAAGGGUGCGUAGGUGGUUUCUUAAGUCAGAGGUGAAAGGCUACGGCUCAACCGUAGUAAGCCUUUGAAACUGG